GUACCACAACCAGACAUCCGCGCAGAAGAAACUCUUGGAGUUUGCCAGGCAGUACCUCCAGUCGGAUGAUGAGGCAGAGGUGGGUGACGAGGAGGAGACGGAUUCAGGGUCGCCGUUGGACGCCGAGUUCGAGGGGUUCGGGGACUACGAAGAAGGGAUCCUGGCCCAGUGGUGGCAGGAGCCGCGAUCCAAAGGCGACAGAGCAGACGAAGAGAAGGCCGAGUGAGUGGUACGGUCCUCCCAGCGUCUGCCAGUAAGGGGACAUCCCAAUUCUCCGUGCCCACCACAGUUUCAGUAGUGGGCUUAUCUGGAGCAGGCAGGUGUUCCCCUCCCUGUGUCCCGGCACGUUUCCAGCCCUUCAGGCCGUUCUUAUGCUAAUGUCCCAGCAAGGCUGGGGAAGUUCCAGCUUGACACCUCCUUGUGCCUAGAACCUUUCAUUCCACCCCUGAUCGGAUUGGUUUGGCACCAACACUGCUGAGCCAAUCAAAAGUGCUGUUUGAAUAUUCCAUGGUGCUUCACUUUUAGAAUUGCUCUAUGAGCAGUCUUGGAAACAAACCUCCAAGCAGUGGCUUCUGACUUUUAACCUCCGCUCGGUCAGCGUGACCUCAGAUAGCGACUUUGGCUGGCCACAUUAGCCUAUGCACAAGCAGCGGUGAGCUAUACAACCAGCUUCACCGUGCCACUGACACUCUGUGGGACCAAACGUAAGCCAUACUCUCUUGCCCCAAAGCCUUUCCUGUCAGGAACCAGACUCCCAGCAUGCUUUGCUCUGGUUCUGACAGGUUCCUUGAUAGGUACCGGCUUCUUCCUGACCUGGUUGUCAAAGUGAAUAAUCAUUAUGUUCAAACUGACUGGCCAAGUGCCUUUUUAAACCUCAGAGUGCUGCCUUUGUAAUAUUUUGGGGUUUUUUGGAUAAUUUAAUUUUUUUUGUUUUGCUCUGUACAGAUUUUUUUAAAGAAAAAAAAUGUUAGCUCAGUUUUAAUAAAAUACC